rnacentral:rRNA from 1 species
AAACCAACAGGGAUUGCCUCAGUAACGGCGAGUGAAGCGGCAAAAGCUCAAAUUUGAAAUCUAGCACCUUCGGUGUUCGAGUUGUAAUUUGAAGAUGGUAACCUUGGGUUUGGCUCUUGUCUAUGUUCCUUGGAACAGGACGUCAUAGAGGGUGAGAAUCCCGUCUGAUGAGAUGCCCAUUCCUAUGUAAGGUGCUAUCGAAGAGUCGAGUUGUUUGGGAAUGCAGCUCUAAGUGGGUGGUAAAUUCCAUCUAAAGCUAAAUAUUGGCGAGAGACCGAUAGCGAACAAGUACAGUGAUGGAAAGAUGAAAAGAACUUUGAAAAGAGAGUGAAAAAGUACGUGAAAUUGUUGAAAGGGAAGGGCAUUAGAUCAGACUUGGUGUUUUACGAUUAUCUUCUCUUCUUGAGUUGUGCACUCGUAUUUCACUGGGCCAGCAUCGAUUCGGAUGGCAAGAUAAUGGCAGUUGAAUGUGGCUUCACUUCGGUGGAGUGUUAUAGCUUCUGCUGAUAUUGCCUGUCUGGAUCGAGGGCUGCGUCUUUUGACUAGGAUGCU